rnacentral:rRNA from 1 species
GUCUUGGCCAUAAACGAUGUUCACUAGGUGUCGGGGGUUUCCCUCGGUGCCGCAGCUAACGCAUUAAGUGAACCGCCUGGGGACUACGGCCGCAAGGUUGAAACUCAAAGGAAUUGGCGGGGGCCCGCACAAGCGGUGGAGCAUGUGGCUUAAUUCGAUGCAACGCGAAGAACCUUACCAGGGCUUGACAUGUACCUGCAAGCACCCGAAACGGUGCCGCCUUCGAGGGUGGUACACAGGUGGUGCAUGGCUGUCGU